rnacentral:lncRNA from 1 species
UUUCAAUUGGAUUUUUUCCCUUCUGAGGCUGUGACGUAAUUAUAUUUGGUGUUAAGACAAGGAAAGUCACAGCCAGUACAAAAAGAAGAAAAAGUCAAAACUACUGUGUUAGAAGACAGAGUGUCAGUGGGAGAAUCAGAUAACGUGGGGACUUGCUUGCAGUGUGACUCCUAGUCGAUGUCUUGGCUUCUUAAGUGUCUGCUAGUGUUACCUCAGUAGCUUUCCUCCUGGUUCACCACUUCAGUAUUACCCUGCCAGUCUUUCUAUAUUUACCAUAAGAAAUUUGGAGUUACGAUACCUUUCACUUACUUCUCUCAGCUUGUUUUCAAUUCAUGGUGCUUUCAAAUCACUAACCUCAAUUGUAGGUCAGGUGUUAAUGCACACUCCACAUAAUAGCAAACAGAAUUGAACAGACGUUUUAAUAUGUAAUCUCAGACCAAGAUUCUGGCUACAGCAAAGUCUAAAGAACAGGGCUUCAAAUAAUCUAGAAAAUUUUAGAGUUUCAAAAAGAAGCACUUAAAGCAGGAAAGGUAUUUUUCCUGAAAUAGUAGAUUACACCUCU